AUCUUUUUGGUGUAAAGGCACGAGAGAUUUUGAUUCUCUAGGAGGAUAAAAAUCUAAAAGAUA
rnacentral:tRNA from 3 species